UACGUAGGGAGCAAGCGUUGUCCGGAAUCAUUGGGCGUAAAGCGCGCGUAGGUGGCUUCGUAAGUCCGUUGUGAAAGUCAAAGGCUCAACCUUUGAAAGCCGAUGGAUACUGCGGAGCUAGAGUACGGAAGAGGCGAGUGGAAUUCCCGGUGUAGCGGUGGAAUGCGCAGAUAUCAGGAGGAACACCAAUAGCGAAGGCAGCUCGCUGGGACGUUACUGACACUGAGGCGCGAAAGCGUGGGGAGCAAACAGG
rnacentral:rRNA from 1 species